ACUAGCGAUUCCACUGGGCGCUAUAGGCAGGGCGCACUCACCGAACUCCCCAAUCCCUUCCAGCCUCAGAGCCCGCCUGGCAGGACUACUGAGCAAGGCCUUGGAAAAUCGGAGCGAUUAGAGCGGUGAGUCGCGCUGGUCACACUGCACACCUGCGGGUUGGGAGAUUCUGGAGCCAGAAGGAGAGCCGAAUGGCCUUCGCCCGCCCUGCCCCUCGUCCGCUUCAGAAAUCCCCGGAAACGCCCCGGUCCGCGAUCCGGGCCCGAGCAGCCAGGGGGCCCAAGGGAAGCUGAACGCCGGGUGAGCUACCCGGAUGGCUCUUCCGGUUCUUUGUGCGGCCUUCACCCAGUGAGGGAGCCUGUGCCCCCUGCCCAGUCGCUUUCGGGGCGCUGAGGAGCUUCCGCUGCCAUCUUCGGAUGCUGUGUCCCGCACGGAGGGUCCACCAGGGCAGGGAUAGUGGUGAGGGUCGCUCGUGGAUCCCCUCGCGGGGAGCAGGGUCUGGCACACACCAGGGCGCAGGAUUAGGACUUGUUGAAUGAAUCCAUCGUGGCCUUUAUCUUUUAGUCCUCUGAAGAGCGUUGAGAAUGGAAAUCAUAAGAUAUUUUUUCCAUUAGGAAGUUCUUUUUACAAGGCGUUUAUUCAGGUUGACUUCUCGGCACCCCGCGGGGCGGGCAACGGGCAGGGCCUCCAGUGCACCUUCUGCGCAGUGGAGCCGCGGGGGCCCAGCUGGGCGGUGGUCGGGUCGUGAGGCGGGAGGGCGGGAGCGGGGGAAGGGAAAAGCAAAAGCGGGGAAAGAAGCCGGGGAGCGGUGGACCAGACAUUCAGACCUCCUGAAAGGCUCGUGCGGAGGCAGAGGCGGGAUCUUCCGGAGAAGUGCUUCGGUCAGGCAGUAUCUUUGAAAAUAAUUUGGCCAAUGAAAGCCCUGGCAUUGGAUGAAAGUGCUAGCUGCUGGGAAUGCUACCCCUCCUUUUGGUUCUCUUUCAAGUCCUUCAGGUUCAAACAAUACAGAAGUGUAUAAAGUAAGAAUUGAAAGUCUCUUCGCUGCUCUAAUCUCACUCCUCAGAGGUGAUCACUGUGUGGAAGAUGAUCAAAGUAUGACAUUUCUUCUACCCCAGAGGCUGGCAUUUCUGCAGGCACAAAUGAGCUUGGUUUUCAAGCACUGCUCUUUGAACACAAGGAAUUCCUUUAAUGAUCACGCCGGACUAUAUAGACUUUGGAAUCAGACUCUUUGAAUUCCAGCUCUGCCAUUUACCAACU
rnacentral:lncRNA from 1 species